CACGGGUCUUAGGGGCCUUAAACCCCACGGCUCACAGCCUAGAGAUGAGCUCGCGUCUGAUUAGCUAGUUGGUGUGGUAAGAGCGCACCAAGGCGACGAUCAGUAGCUGGUCUGAGAGGAUGAUCAGCCACACUGGGACUGAGACACGGCCCAGACUCCUACGGGAGGCAGCAGUGGGGAAUUUUCCGCAAUGGGCGAAAGCCUGACGGAGCAAUACCGCGUGAGGGAGGAAGGCUCUUGGGUUGUAAACCUCUUUUCUCAAGGAAUAAGAUCUGAAGGUACUUGAGGAAUAAGCAUCGGCUAACUCCGUGCCAGCAGCCGCGGUAAUACGGAGGAUGCAAGCGUUAUCCGGAAUGAUUGGGCGUAAAGGGUCCGCAGGUGGCAUUGUGUGUCUGCUGUUAAAGAGUCUAGCUCAACUAGAUAAAAGCAGUGGAAACUACAAAGCUAGAGUGCGUUCGGGGUAGCAGGAAUUCCUGGUGUAGCGGUGAAAUGCGUAGAGAUCAGGAGAACACCGGGUGGCGAAAGCGUGCUACUAGGCCGUAACUGACACUGAGGGACGAAAGCUAGGGGGAGCGAAUGGGAUUAGAUACCCCAGUUAGUCAGCU
rnacentral:rRNA from 1 species